rnacentral:sRNA from 1 species
GCUACUAGGGGAUGGUACAGCAUCAUCAAACGAGGGGUAAGCUAUCAGCAGAUAGUUAAAGUUUGACGUGAUAAGUUGUACUUAUGGCUAGUUAAACAUCUUCAAUAUUUAUUACUUACUUUCCUUUCUAUGCCGGUUGGUUUAUCCAAUCGGUUUUUUU